AAAUCUAUGCCCCUUGCUGAGGAAUAAGAUUCCACAUUUGCCAAGAUUGGCGUUUCUCAUGGACUAUUCCUAAAACAUCUGGCAGACGAGAUGAGUCCACGUUGUUUCUGACUAAAUGUAACAGAAGGCUGUGCUUGGCUCUCUUUGGUUUGGGGCUCAACUUGGAUGAAUAAUCAUCUAACAGCAGACUGGAAUCUGAAAAGAAAACCAAGAUCCAAAUAUAUACAUAACAGAGGGAAGGCCACAUGGAGACACAGGGAGAAGACAGCCAUCCAUGAGCCGAAAAGAGACCUGAGAAGAAACCACCCAGCUGACACCUUGAUCUUGGACUUCCAGCCUCCAGAGUUGUAAGGCCAUGGAGAUACUUCUACGAACGAAGAAGACAGAAAACCCUACCAGAAUUGACUGAAAAGUUGAGCAAGGGGCAGGAAAGAAAAAGAGGUGGCAAAGGUAGCAACAACUAUGUUCUGUUCCAGAAAGCAUAAGCCACAGCCCCCACCACAGUGCUUGGUAAUGCGGUUGCUGUUUAAUAUCUGCUAACUGAGUGGAAGGAAGACAAGACAAUUACCUGACUCAAAGAGAAGCAAAAGAAUGCUGCCUUCAAGCUGAGGGGAAGACUGAACUGGCCGUUUCCUUCUGCUCUAAAGUGUCCUCUGGAGAGGACGUUGGCGGAGCUGGUGCUCUCGUGGUGGCAGGCCACCACCCUGUGGAGGUGUCCAUGCAUUGCAAGUGCUCGCAAGCUCCAGGAACAAACGCAUCCGCGCAGCCGUCUGGGGUUUGUCCCGUCGCUGCCAGCCCUUUCGCCGAGUCCCCGCCCUCGCCGAUAAGAGCCCACUUAGGACCCCCGUUACAUGGAUGGCUUCCCAGGACCUGCCCUUAAAGACUCUGAUUUAGUAGGUUGGAAAUGAUGCAAUUAUUUUUAUUUUUAAUUAGUACCCCAAGUCAUUCUUUACCAUCAAGGAAGUUUGGGAAACAAAUCACGUUUGUUUCAACCACCUGUGGAACGUUUGUUUCAAUCACCUGUGGAACUGGAGCAAUUAUUUUUUUCCCCAGUGACUUUACCACAAAGUUAACUUUGGAAUAUGUUAGUGGUUAAUACACGGAACGUUCCCGAGAUCCCUCAAGAAAGAAGCUACGAAUACUUAGAAGAUACUAUUCCGCAGCGUUUACAGCAACACUGUCCGUUCCAGAAGGAUUCAAGUGACGGCCUGCUUUGAAGGCGAAAACCACAGGGCAACCCAAACUUCAGAAGGGUUCUGGCCACGGGAGCCACACCGGUCACUGUCCCCUAGUGCUGGGAUGACGGCUCGAGUGUUAGAGGAUCCCACUCACUCCUCUGGUAGAUGAGGUCAGAGAGCCGAGGGGGCCAGAACAAGUCUUCCUUAUCGGAUUCUGGGCGGAAAAAGAUAAAGGCGGGGAGGACUUUCUCUUUUUAAUAAGAUUCAUUGUUACGAAUUGUUCUAGGCAAACAGACCUCAGGAGAAAUAGGCCCAAGUUUUGAUUCCUGUUUUCACCAAGCCGCAAGUCCUAAUCGUAGCAAGAGGUGCGGGGAAGAGUCGCCUUCUCUCCUGCCUAGUGGGAUCCAAGUCAGGCUGUCCUUGUCAGCCAGGGUCAAAGGGGCUCUGCCAGGGAAAAACGACGGCAAAUGUUUUUCAAGUGGAAGCCUCCAGCCACUUGUGACCUGUGAAAUCCGUCUGGGCCAAAAAGAUAGUGGACGCUUGGUUGAGGGCCCCAGGGACACAAGUUUCCUCCUGUAUGGAGGGAGCGGGACUCUUCAUAAAAUUACACUGCACAC